rnacentral:lncRNA from 1 species
AUUUGUCAAAUUCUCGUAUCCCCGUACCGCGCACUCCCGCGCCCACACUCAUGCUUCCUAGAUUAUAAGCAACAAUAGUUUAGGCAUAUAAUAUAUGCUACCUACUUGUGUUACGAGCAAAUAUAUAAAGCUUAAAUGAUUUCAUCCUAAUCACUUUAGAGCAAGUCCAACAGCUGCCCUAUUUAGUGUCCUAAGUCAUAAUAUAGGGCAUUUGAUGAAAAAACUUGACCCAACAAUGUCCUAGUGAUGCCAUAUAUCACUAGGACAACCCAUUCAAGCCUUAUUUUUGAGGCACUCUCUCUCCUUGCCCUAUCCCAUAUUUCAUAAUAAAUUCUUACCAACACUCUCUUUCUAUCUCUAUUUUAUAUUAUGUUUUAAUGAUGAAAGUGAACUUUUAAUAAUAAAAUAUUAAACAUAUAGUGAAAAUAAGGCUCAUUGUUGGAGUUGAAAUUAGUAGAAUAUGUCCUAAACUACUAGGAUAUAAUUUUUUAUAUUAUAUUUAGGGCUCCAACUAGGACACUGUUGGACUUGCUCUUAUGCAAAGUACAGUAAAACCUUGAUUAAUUAAUAAUCCGUGAUAAAUUAAUAUUUGAACUAAGGUUUUUUUCCCCAAAAAUAAUAGUGACAGUAUAUAUUUAACCUCAAUUAUUUAAUAAUCUCGAUAAAUUGAUAAAAUUUAGCAAUCCAGACGUAUUAAUUGAUAGAGGUCUUACUGUACUAGAGAAAAGACACAAGAAAAUGUAGUUCUUCUGUCUUAGUACAACCUUUAUUCGUGUUUAUUUUGUCUUCCCCCUUUCCCCAUCUUAUUGAACUAUAUGUCUCUUGUUUACUUUUUUGUAUCUAUACUAUAUACACACUACUUUUCACAGAACAGAGCAUCAACUCGACCUUGAUUUGGACUUGAUAAAAGAUAUUCCCAAAACGUGAUAUGAACAUAAUUUAUCAUACCUGUAAUUCAUAGUUCACAACAUUUUGUUCAGCUCAAUCCUGUGGAGAGUGGAGGUCAUCAAAAAGCCCAUCGAGCUGAGAGGAAAGAGGUGGAGAAGUUUCAUGAAACACAUUUGAUUUCACAUCAUAAGCAACUAUUUCUUCUACCAAUGUCAGGUUUUCAAGGUAUGGUUUUCCACCUCAAACACAAAAAA